CGAAGCUACCAUGCCCACAG
rnacentral:misc_RNA from 1 species